ACAUGCAAGUCGAGCGGUAAGGCCCUUCGGGGUACACGAGCGGCGAACGGGUGAGUAACACGUGAGCAACCUGCCCCCGACUCCGGGAUAAGCGGUGGAAACGCCGUCUAAUACCGGAUACGACCGGCCACCUCAUGGCGGCCGGUGGAAAGUUUUCUCGGUUGGGGAUGGGCUCGCGGCCUAUCAGCUAGUUGGUGGGGUAAAGGCCUACCAAGGCGAUUACGGGUAGCCGGCCUGAGAGGGCGACCGGCCACACUGGGACUGAGACACGGCCCAGACUCCUGCGGGAGGCAGCAGUGGGGAAUAUUGCGCAAUGGGCGAAAGCCUGACGCAGCGACGCCGCGUGGGGGAUGACGGCCUUCGGGUUGUAAACCUCUUUUACCACCAACGCAGGCUCCCAGUUCUCUGGGGGUUGACGGUAGGUGGGGAAUAAGGACCGGCUAACUACGUGCCAGCAGCCGCGGUAAUACGUAGGGUCCGAGCGUUGUCCGGAAUUAUUGGGCGUAAAGAGCUCGUAGGCGGCGUGUCGCGUCUGCUGUGAAAGACCGGGGCUUAACUCCGGUUCUGCAGUGGAUACGGGCAUGCUAGAGGUAGGUAGGGGAGACUGGAAUUCCUGGUGUAGCGGUGAAAUGCGCAGAUAUCAGGAGGAACACCGGUGGCGAAGGCGGGUCUCUGGGCCUUACCUGACGCUGAGGAGCGAAAGCAUGGGGAGCGAACAGGAUUAGAUACCCUGGUAGUCCAUGCCGUAAACGUUGGGCGCUAGGUGUGGGGACUUUCCACGGUUUCCGCGCCGUAGCUAA
rnacentral:rRNA from 1 species